rnacentral:rRNA from 1 species
UACGUAGGGGGCGAGCGUUGUCCGGAAUUACUGGGCGUAAAGGGCGCGCAGGCGGCCGUGUAAGUCCGCUGUGAAAGACCGGGGCUCAACCCCGGGGUGUCAGCGGGGACUGCACGGCUGGAGUCCCGGAGGGGGAGGCGGAAUACCUGGUGUAGCGGUGGAAUGCGUAGAGAUCAGGUGGAACACCGAUGGCGAAGGCAGCCUCCUGGACGGGGUACUGACGCUGAGGCGCGAAAGCGUGGGGAGCGAACGGG